ensembl:lncRNA
GAAAGAAAAGAGUGAGCCAAAAAAAAGUGAUCUCUCUCUCUCUCUCUCUCUCUCUCGCUCGCAGACUCAAUAGUUAAUACAAGUGCACGCAUGGUAAUGCUUGCAGACUUGACACACUCAUGUUUAAUAUAUUUCAAAUCAGCAACACAAUCUGAGGUGAACUGUCACAUGAAUGUUUUCUAUUACGCUCAAAUUGCGUUAAGGCAUUUUAGGUUGAUAAAGCUAGCACGCAUGUGCAGUCAUGUUUCUAUGGCAAGCAGUGAGGGACACUUCGACCGCCAAACCGCGUUUUACAUUUUCUCCCAUUUUUAUAAUAUUAUAAAUGAACCGUUUAAUCUUAAAGUUUUAGUGGUUCAGAUUCAGACUCGAUGCUGAGCAGAGAGCACAGACAGAGAUCAGAUGAUAGUAAAUAAAUAAUGCCAGCGGCCAUGGCAUUGCACGAGCGAUCGUUAUUAUAGUUCAAAAGGCUAACAGUGUAAGUUAUUAUGCGAAUUAACUCGAGUCAGAAUGUACAUGUGCACAGUAGCAUUUGUCAUCCGUCACUGUGACAUCAAGUGGACUUUUGAAGCUGAAAUAAUGAGUGGAUUCAGCUUGGACUUGGAAUAAUGAGAGGAAUAACAUGAAUAACUUUCUUGACGGAGGAUUGUAAUGCAUCACAGGCAGUCAGGUACAAGGAAGAGAGACUACGGCUCUUUAAAUUAGGUAAGACAAAAAGCUGUAUUCUUCGCAACAGGUUUAUUGACUUGUAAUAGCAAUUUAAGGUGGAAUAUGUGAACGUCGGGUCCAGUCGGGUCUGUGUCUUCCCGGCGGGUUCGGGUCCAGAUUUCAAGUAAUAUACGGGUCCGGGUCGGGUCGGGGUAGGCAUUUCUCGGAUCUACACGGGUCCGGGUCCAGCUUUUGAAAUAAUAGACGGGUCCGGGUCGGUUCGGUGUAGUACAUUACGGGUCUCUGUCGGGUUCGGGCAAGAAUUUUUGGACCCGUGAAGACCUCUACCAGCCCCUAAACCAGCCCCAGCAAGACCAGCCCCUAGACCAGCGCCAGCAAGACCAGCCCCUAAACCAGCCCCAGCAAGACCAGCCCCUAGACCAGCCCCAGCAAGACCAGCCCCUAGACCAGCCCCAGCAAGACCAGCCCCUAGACCAGGUAAUCCCACAAGACCACCAACUGAUUACACUUGAACUAUGUCCAAUCGUCUCUCAGGCUCAGCAGCAUGUGGAGCCUCUACCACCAAGGAAAAGACAAACCCCACCAUCCAGCCCAGGCCAAGACAGACAAGCCCCACCAUCCAUCCAACCUCAACUAAAGAAAAGACAAACCACAGGUACAGGAGCCACACAAGCCCCACCCUCGACCCUGGCCAAAAAGAAGAAAACAAAAAGUUGCAAAUGCAGUCGACAGACAAUUUAUCCAUAUGAUAAAAUAUUGGAAAGACGGAUGAAUGGGGGGAAGGCAGCAGAGGUGAAAGUGCGUUGGCUACCUUGCUCUUCCUGUGGCAGAGUCUGGGAGGACACCUGGGAGCCGCCCAGCAAAUUCGCCUGAUGACUAAUACUGUUUUACUAUUUGUUUUGUAUAUAUUUCUCAAUAAUUAAAUUCACUAUUGUUACAUUUUAUGAUUUGUCUGUCAAUCAUUGACUGCACUGAAUAAUUAAUGUGUCAUGACUUUGUGCUGUAUUUGAUGGGAAAAGUGAGACGAAAGUUGCAUGUAGUGACAGUCAAGUCACCUUUAUUUACAGCUUAUAGCACUUUUUACAAUACAGAUUGUAUCAAAGCAGCUUCACAGUGAUAACAGGAAAAUAAUACAACAAAGUUUCUUUUUAGAAGAAAAUUACAUCCUCGUCCACCUUAAGGCAGAUUAGCAAGCCAAUCUUAGCAACUAAAAAAAUCUAAAGCCAAGGCAACCAGAACAAGUACCAAAUUGGCAUUAUACUAACUUAUGAUGAAAAUUUUAGUUAGUAUUGAUGGUAAUUUUGGAGCAAAGUAAAUGGGCUCCUAUCCCUGGUGACAGGAUGUAUUACUGAAUCCUUUUUUACCUCUGAUCGCUAGCAUACAACACUGUUUGUUUUUGUUCUCAUGGUUGUCUGUUCAGAACAAUUAUGAGAGUUCUUAAGACAUUUCAAACAUUCCCAAUGAAGAGAAGAGGCACAAUUAUCAAUUUUCAUCUGUUAAUGGAGAUGAUGAUUUUGCAAUUGUACUGUCUUGAUUAAUGCUUAAUUUGCUAUAAAGUUAUAUUAUGCUAUACAGAUGUACUGUAACCUAAGUAGUAAUAAUGCUUUUGCUUAAGUACAAAGAUGUAACCCUGUGAUUAAUGCUAUAUGGAAAAUGUAUUGUGUAACUUCACUAACAUUAAGAAAACUGCUUACUUGCAUGAAAUGUAUGUAGUGACUGAUUUAGAGUAGAAACACUUAUGUAUUAGAAAUAGUUUUUAUGAUAAAUGGACAAUAUAGUAUUUAAGGUGUAUUUCACCGACUGUUAAGAGGAAAAAGAAGAGGAAAAGGGCUAAAGCAAUGCGACGUAAACAACUGAAAGCCUCGGCAGAGGAGUUGGCAGCACUCCAGGUGAUGACAUCAGAAGAACCAGCGUUCGACGUCUGUGUAUAAAAGACUGAGAGAGAGACUCGACCGACGGAUACUGAACAAGCACAGUAUCCCUCGACGCCUGAUACCAGCUGAUUAUACCUUGAUUUUGUAACUUUACUAUUGUACUUUGAUAUAACUUUUGUUAAUUUUAAUAAAACUUGUAUUUUAUUAUUGACAAGUUAUGGUCUGCAAGAGUAGUAAUUUAAGAGCCGUAAGCAAGAACUGACCACAGGGACGUCUACUGAGCAAGAUGUAAGUAUUUUUGAAAUGCUUAUAGUUUUGUCCAGGGUCGACUUUCCUUACCUACCUGAGAAUAAUAAAGAAAUAGGUAAAAGGUGUAUAGAUAAAGGAGACACCAUAAAACACAUCAAUGGUACCUAGGUCAGCAAUGAUUUUUCAGGCUCAGGCCAUUUUUUCAUAUCCUUUGCCUCAUACAAAGACAGAUUGGUGUCAAAUUUCACAAAUAAUCUCCUCAUCCUUCCUCUGUGUCAACAAUCAACAUACAGUAUGUGCAUGACAUAAAGAGAUCAGAAAGACCGGAGACAUGAGCCUGGGAAACUGUUAAAGCCAGAAACAAUUCCAGCUUGGCCAUCAGUAUAAUUUUAAAGUCUAAUGUUUUCUUGUCAUAAAACCAGGGAGAGAGGUAGGUUUCCUAUGUUACCCUGACAAUAGGGAGCAUUCCAGGACACUAAGGACCUCAAUCUGUUCACACUGAAUGACUUGACUGUGGGCCGGUUUACUAAGGUCCAUGACAGUGGUAGGAAAUCUAAGGCCUGGUUGUGCAAUGUGGGCCUCAUGUCUUCAUGAUCAAAGGCUUCUGAUCUUAAUUAUCAGGAAAAUGUUGCAUUAUACAUAAAAUACACUCAGUCCCCACUUAUUCUAACCCUAGCUCGGUUUUGUUUUUAUUCUCCAUGCCAAGU